CUCAGGUCCCACUCAAAAUAAUUUUUCAUUGUUUCAGCCAUUCCGCCUAAGAGAAGGUUAAGAAGAUAAUUGGCAAUGCCGUCAGGAGGUUUGGCUGUCUUCUGAAAUUCCCUGGGCCAGUGAUGGGUGACAAUAACCACCCAGUUGCACAAACUUCAAAUCCAGGUUUCUGUUAAAGUGCAUUCUUGAUGAGGUUGCUGAAGUAUUCAAUUAACCAUUCCUCAGACUACAAUACAUCUGAACUUCCAGGAAUAUGACUUACUAAGGUUACUAUUGUAAAAAAGUGGAAAGCUUUUCAGAUUGAUGUCAUACAUUUAAUUAUCUCAUAUCCUGAUCAAGAACUGCCCUUACAAGUAUAGGAGACUGUUGGUUUGCAACUAAACUUGCAGAAACCUUGAUUAUGGAAUGCCUGCUCUGUGAAACAGCUCUUCUGGGUGGUGGUGAUAAAUAGAUACAAGGCCUGGCAUUUUCCUCCAGAGGCUCACAUUGUGCUUGCUGAACAAUCAUACGCGGUGUGCAAAGCAGAGAGAGAUUAAGCG